CUGCACUAACUCUGAUGACCCCCUAGAGGUCCUGGACACCCUGUUGAAAAUCCCUGUUCUGGAUGGUAAUGAGAG